rnacentral:rRNA from 1 species
GACAGCAGUCGCCGCGGUAAUGCGAAGGGUGCAUGCGUUAAUCGGAAUUACUGGGCGUAAAGCGUGCGUAGGCGGUUUGUUAAGUCUGUUGUGAAAUCCCCGGGCUCAACCUGGGAAUGGCAAUGGAUACUGGCAAGCUAGAGUGUGUCAGAGGAUGGUGGAAUUCCCGGUGUAGCGGUGAAAUGCGUAGAGAUCGGGAGGAACAUCAGUGGCGAAGGCGGCCAUCUGGGACAACACUGACGCUGAGGCACGAAAGCGUGGGGAGCAAACAGGAUUAGAUACCCGCGUAGUCCCUGUCUCUUAUAC